CUUUCAUAGUGAUAGGAUCUCAGGGGUUAAAGGAAGAUGAGUUUACCUCUAAUCAUGCAUUUGUUCAGAGUGAAAGCAGUACAGCACAGAAUUCAUGGAAAGGUCAGAUACUCCAAGCUUUUGUGUAAACAAUCAUGGGUCAUUACUGUUGUAGACAGAUGAGUGCGGCUCAUGAGUUAACCCCUUGUCAAGCAAGAUCUUCUAG